rnacentral:rRNA from 1 species
AACGAACGCUGGCGGCAGGCUUAACACAUGCGAGUCGAACGCCCCGCAAGGGGAGUGGCAGACGGGUGAGUAACGCGUGGGAACGUGCCCUUCGCUUCGGAAUAGCCCCGGGAAACUGGGAGUAAUACCGGAUACGCCGUAUUGGGAAAGAUUUAUCGGCGAAGGAUCGGCCCGCGUUAGAUUAGCUAGUUGGCGGUGUAAUGGACCACCAAGGCUACGAUCUAUAGCUGGUCUGAGAGGAUGAUCAGCCACACUGGGACUGAGACACGGCCCAGACUCCUACGGGAGGCAGCAGUGGGGAAUCUUGGACAAUGGGCGCAAGCCUGAUCCAGCCAUGCCGCGUGAGUGAAGAAGGCCUUAGGGUUGUAAAACUCUUUCGCCGGAGAAGAUAAUGACGGUAUCCGGAGAAGAAGCCCCGGCUAACUUCGUGCCAGCAG